UGAAAUAUAAUCUUCAGUCAUACUAGGUAUUUUUGGCACAGUGCAUUUGGAGACAUUCAGUAAGUGCGUCGGCCAACAUUUUGUUUCGCUCUUUCUUAUUCUCUUAUUGACCAAAAUGUAUGAACAGUGCUCAGUAGAAGGGAGUGCAAGUUGACUGCUCAAAGAGAACGGACGUUGCGGACGAGCAAUUUAUUUUAAAAGCUGGCCACCGGUAGAAUGCGUCAGCUCAUGUGGCUGAAAAGUUCACGGUUAAACUAACGACAUGUUGUGGAGUCAUUAACCAAAGUAUAGAAAUGCAAGUGCAUAUAGUCAGUUAGUGACGCAGUUUAAGCUGUGCUGCGUAGGCGUGCGUGUUUAAAAAUGCAUAUGCGCCAUAUAUGUUCGUGAUUGUGAUCAGGUGCCGGUAUAAAAGUGAUAUUACGUUAUAUAUGCAUGCAUGUACAAUUAAUUUUUUUUAUAUUUUGUUUUGUUUUUCAAUUCGUCAAUGGAUGCAAAUAAAAUGAGCCAGACGGUAUUUUUGGGCACAGUGCAAUUGGAAGCAUUCAGUGUGCGCCGGCGGCCAUCAUAUCUUUAGCUCUUCCUCUUUUAUUUUCUUGCUGAUCAAACUGCGUGAACAGUGCUCAUUAGAAGUGGGAUUGCUUAAAGAGAACGGGCGACGUGGAAGAGCGGUUUAUUAUUAAAGCCGAACGAAGCACAAACGGAUUAACACACAAGGAUUAACAUUAAAAUCAGGUG